GAUGAACGCUGGCGGCGUGCCUAACACAUGCAAGUCGAGCGUGAACCGUCUGAAUGAAACUUCGGUCGAGUGAGGAUGGGGAAAGCGGCGGACGGGUGAGUAACGCGUAGGCAACCUGCCCCGUACAGAGGGAUAGCCUCGGGAAACCGGGAUUAAGACCUCAUAAUACCAUUAUCUCACAUGUGAUAAUGGUCAAAGAUUUUAUCGGUAUGGGAUGGGCCUGCGUCUGAUUAGCUGGUUGGUGGGGUAACGGCUCACCAAGGCGACGAUCAGUAGCCGACCUGAGAGGGUAAUCGGCCACAUUGGAACUGAGACACGGUCUAAACUCCUACGGGAGGCAGCAGUGGGGAAUAUUGCACAAUGGGCGAAAGCCUGAUGCAGCAACGCCGCGUGAGCGAGGAAGGCCUUUGGGUCGUAAAGCUCUGUCGAGGAGGAAGAUAAUGACGGUACUCCUCGAGGAAGCCCCGGCUAACUACGUGCCAGCAGCCGCGGUAAGCU
rnacentral:rRNA from 1 species